UACGUAGGGUGCGAGCGUUGUCCGGAAUUAUUGGGCGUAAAGAGCUCGUAGGCGGUUUGUCGCGUCGGCUGUGAAAACUCGGGGCUCAACCCCGAGCCUGCAGUCGAUACGGGCAAACUUGAGUGUGGUAGGGGAGACUGGAAUUCCUGGUGUAGCGGUGAAAUGCGCAGAUAUCAGGAGGAACACGGGCGGCGAAGGCGGGUCUCUGGGCCAUAACUGACGCUGAGGAGCGAAAGCGUGGGGAGCGAACAGG
rnacentral:rRNA from 1 species